rnacentral:rRNA from 1 species
GAGUAACACGUGGGUAACCUGCCCAUCAGAAGGGGAUAACACUUGGAAACAGGUGCUAAUACCGUAUAACAAUCAAAACCGCAUGGUUUUGAUUUGAAAGGCGCUUUCGGGUGUCGCUGAUGGAUGGACCCGCGGUGCAUUAGCUAGUUGGUGAGGUAACGGCUCACCAAGGCCACGAUGCAUAGCCGACCUGAGAGGGUGAUCGGCCACAUUGGGACUGAGACACGGCCCAAGCUCCUACGGGAGGCAGCAGUAGGGAAUCUUCGGCAAUGGACGAAAGUCUGACCGAGCAACGCCGCGUGAGUGAAGAAGGUUUUCGGAUCGUAAAACUCUGUUGUUAGAGAAGAACAAGGAUGAGAGUAACUGUUCAUCCCUUGACGGUAUCUAACCAGAAAGCCACGGCUAACUACGUGCCAGCAGCCGCGGUAAUACGUAGGUGGCAAGCGUUGUCCGGAUUUAUUGGGCGUAAAGCGAGCGCAGGCGGUUUCUUAAGUCUGAUGUGAAAGCCCCCGGCUCAACCGGGGAGGGUCAUUGGAAACUGGGAGACUUGAGUGCAGAAGAGGAGAGUGGAAUUCCAUGUGUAGCGGUGAAAUGCGUAGAUAUAUGGAGGAACACCAGUGGCGAAGGCGGCUCUCUGGUCUGU